UUGGAGGGCAAGUCUGGUGCCAGCAGCCGCGGUAAUUCCAGCUCCAAUAGCGUAUAUUAAAGCUGUUGCAGUUAAAAAGCUCGUAGUUGAAUUUCGGGGUCAGUAGGUCGGUCGUGCCACUGGUAUGAACUGGUUUUACUGAUUCCUCCCUCUUGAAGAACUGUAAUGCCAUUAAUUUGGUGUUGCAGGGAAUCAGGACCGUUACUUUGAAAAAAUUAGAGUGUUUAAAGCAGGCUUUAGCUUGAAUACAUUAGCAUGGAAUAAUGAAAUAGGACGUUUGAUCCUAUUUUGUUGGUUUCUAGGAUUGACGUAAUGAUUAAUAGGGAUAGUUGGGGGCAUUAGUAUUCAAUUGUCAGAGGUGAAAUUCUUGGAUUUAUUGAAGACUAACUACAGCGAAAGCAUUUGCCAAGGAUGUUUUCAUUAAUCAAGAACGAAAGUUAGGGGAUCGAAGACGAUCAGAUACCGUCGUAGUCUUAACCAUAAACUAUGCCGACUAGGGAUCGGAUGAUGUUAAUUUUUUAAUGACUCAUUCGGCGCCUUACGGGAAAC
rnacentral:rRNA from 1 species